rnacentral:rRNA from 1 species
GGCUCAGGAUGAACGCUAGCGGCAGGCUUAAUACAUGCAAGUCGUGGGGCAGUAUGAGUAGCAAUACUUGAUGGCGACCGGCAAACGGGUGAGGAACACGUACACAACCUUCCUUCAAGCGGGGAAUAGCCCAGAGAAAUUUGGAUUAAUACCCCAUAAUAUAUUUGAUAAGGCAUCUUAUUAAUAUUAAAGCUUCGGCACUUGAUGAUGGGUGUGCGGCUGAUUAGAUAGUUGGCGGGGUAACGGCCCACCAAGUCUACGAUCAGUAGCUGAUGUGAGAGCAUGAUCAGCCACACGGGCACUGAGACACGGGCCCGACUCCUACGGGAGGCAGCAGUAAGGAAUAUUGGACAAUGGACGAAAGUCUGAUCCAGCCAUGCCGCGUGAAGGAUUAAGGUCCUCUGGAUUGUAAACUUCUUUUAUAUGGGACGAAAAAGGGCAUUCUUGUUCACUUGACGGUACCAUAUGAAUAAGCACCGGCUAACUCCGUG